rnacentral:lncRNA from 1 species
GAAGCUGCCAUAAGUCCAACUCUUGCAAACUAAAACCAAAGAGCCAAAUUUUGAAAAAAAAAUCCCAUGAUCCCAGGGAUGAUUCCACUAUAUAGUUUAGGGCCCAACGGCCCUUAAAUCGGCCAGCGGCCCCAAAAAAAUGUUUGUCAAUAUAAAUUCCCAAUUCAGGAAAAUAAAACAAAAAUCGGUAUUUCCGGAAAAGUUUCCGUCACCGAUUACGGCAACUAUAAUUUUUCAUAGUUUGUCGUCAAAACAUAGUAAAAUUCGUAUAAAAAUGCUGACUAUGAUCGCAUUUUAUUAACAACGAUUUAGUUAUGUCAACAUGAGGUAAAUGAGCGGCCGGAUUCAAUUGAAGUUAAAAUGUUAUGAGAGUAUGUGGUCUCGUAAAA